CCUACGGGUGGCAGCAGUGAGGAAUAUUGGGCAAUGGGGGCAACCCUGACCCAGCCAUGCCGCGUGAGUGAAGAAGGUCUUCGGAUUGUAAAGCUCUUUCGGACGUGACGAUGAUGACGGUAGCGUCUAAAGAAGCACCGGCAAACUUCGUGCCAGCAGCCGCGGUAAUACGAAGGGUGCGAGCGUUGUUCGGAAUUACUGGGCGUAAAGGGAGUGUAGGCGGAUAUGUAAGAUAGCGGUGAAAUGCCGGGGCUCAACCCCGGAACUGCCAUUAUGACUAUGUAUCUAGAGUAAUGGAGAGGAUAGCGGAAUACCCAGUGUAGAGGUGAAAUUCGUAGAUAUUGGGUAGAACACCGAUUGCGAAGGCAGCUUACUAAGCCAUAACUGACACUGAAGCACGAAAGCGUGGGGAUCAAACAGGAUUAGAUACCCCAGUAGUC
rnacentral:rRNA from 1 species